GGCUCAGUAGCUCAGUUGGUAGAGCAAAGGACUGAAAAUCCUUGUGUCGGCGGUUCGAUUCCGUCCUGAGCCACCA
rnacentral:tRNA from 24 species